UACGUAGGCAGCGAGCGUUGUUCGGAAUUACUGGGCGUAAAGAGUGUGUAGGCGGUGCUCUAAGUUCGGUGUGAAAUCUCCUGGCUCAACUGGGAGGGUGCGCCGGAAACUGGAGUGCUUGAGCGUGGGAGAGGAAAGCGGAAUUCCUGGUGUAGCGGUGAAAUGCGUAGAUAUCAGGAGGAACACCUGUGGUGUGAGCGUUUCUGGACCAUAGCUGACGCUGAGACACGAAAGCGUGGGUAGCAAACAGG
rnacentral:rRNA from 1 species